rnacentral:rRNA from 1 species
GACGAACGCUGGCGGCGUGCUUAACACAUGCAAGUCGAACGGAAAGGCCCUGCUUUUGUGGGGUGCUCGAGUGGCGAACGGGUGAGUAACACGUGAGUAACCUGCCCUUGACUUUGGGAUAACUUCAGGAAACUGGGGCUAAUACCGGAUAGGAGCUCCUGCUGCAUGGUGGGGGUUGGAAAGUUUCGGCGGUUGGGGAUGGACUCGCGGCUUAUCAGCUUGUUGGUGGGGUAGUGGCUUACCAAGGCUUUGACGGGUAGCCGGCCUGGGAGGGUGACCGGCCACAUGGGGACUACGAUACGGCCCAGACUCCUACGGUACGCAGCAGGCGGGAACAUUGCACAAUGGGGGGACGCCUGAUGCAGCAACGCCGCGUGCGGGAUGACGGGCUUCGGGUUGUAAACCGCUUUCGCCUGUGACGAAGCGUGAGUGACGGUAAUGGGUAAAGAAGCACCGGCUAACUACGUG